rnacentral:rRNA from 1 species
UACGUAGGGGGCAAGCGUUGUCCGGAAUCAUUGGGCGUAAAGAGCGUGUAGGCGGCCCGGUAAGUCUGUUGUGAAAGUCCAGGGCUCAACCCUGGAAAGCCGAUGGAUACUGCCGGGCUAGAGUUCGGAAGAGGCGAGUGGAAUUCCUGGUGUAGCGGUGGAAUGCGUAGAUAUCAGGAGGAACACCUAUAGCGAAGGCAGCUCGCUGGGACGACACUGACGCUGAGACGCGAAAGCGUGGGGAGCAAACAGG